rnacentral:rRNA from 1 species
GAUGAACGCUGGCGGCGUGCCUAAUACAUGCAAGUCGAGCGAACAGACGAGGAGCUUGCUCCUCUGACGUUAGCGGCGGACGGGUGAGUAACACGUAGGUAACCUACCUAUAAGACUGGGAUAACUUCGGGAAACCGGAGCUAAUACCGGAUAAUAUUUUGAACCGCAUGGUUCGAAAGUGAAAGAUGGCUUUGCUAUCACUUAUAGAUGGAUCUGCGCUGCAUUAGCUAGUUGGUAAGGUAACGGCUUACCAAGGCAACGAUGCAUAGCCGACCUGAGAGGGUGAUCGGCCACACUGGAACUGAGACACGGUCCAGACUCCUACGGGAGGCAGCAGUAGGGAAUCUUCCGCAAUGGGCGAAAGCCUGACGGAGCAACGCCGCGUGAGUGAUGAAGGUCUUCGGAUCGUAAAACUCUGUUAUUAGGGAAGAACAAACGUGUAAGUAACUGUGCACAUCUUGACGGUACCUAAUCAGAAAGCCACGGCUAACUACGUG